GUAAGGAAUAUUGGUCAAUGGACGCAAGUCUGAACCAGCCAUGCCGCGUGAAGGAUGAAGGUCCUCUGGAUUGUAAACUUCUUUUAUAGGGGAAGAAAUGUGCGUUUUCUAAUGCAUUUGACGGUACCCUAGGAAUAAGCACCGGCUAACUCCGUGCCAGCAGCCGCGGUAAUACGGAGGGUGCAAGCGUUAUCCGGAUUCACUGGGUUUAAAGGGUGCGUAGGUGGGAAUGUAAGUCAGUGGUGAAAUCUCUGGGCUUAACCCGGAAACUGCCAUUGAUACUAUGUUUCUUGAAUCUUCUGGAGGUCAGCGGAAUAUGUCAUGUAGCGGUGAAAUGCUUAGAUAUGACAUAGAACACCAAUUGCGAAGGCAGCUGACUACGGGAGUAUUGACACUGAGGCACGAAAGCGUGGGGAUCAAACAGGAUUAGAUACCCUGGUAGUCCACGCCCUAAACGAUGGAUACUCGACAUUUGUGAUACACAAUAAGUGUCUGAGCGAAAGCAUUAAGUAUCCCACCUGGGAAGUACGACCGCAAGGU
rnacentral:rRNA from 1 species